ensembl:tRNA
GCCUCGAUAGCUCAGUUGGGAGAGCGUACGACUGAAGAUCGUAAGGUCACCAGUUCGAUCCUGGUUCGGGGCA